rnacentral:tRNA from 1 species
GCGAAUGUUGCUCUUUGGUAAGAGCGUUUCCGUGAGUAACGGAUAGGCAACCGGUUCGAUUCCGGUCAUUGGCUCAA